UACAGAGGGGCAAGCGUUAUUCGGAAUUAUUGGCGUAAAGGGCGCGUAGGCGGCCUGGCAAGUGGAAGGUGAAAUCCCUCGGCCUUAACCGAGGAACUGCCCUCCAAACUGGCUUGGCUUGAGUCCGGGAGAGGUGAGUGGAAUUCCCAGUGUAGCGGUGAAAUGCGUAGAUAUUGGGAGGAACACCUGUGGCGAAAGCGGCGCACUGGGACCACAACUGACGCUGAGGCGACGAAAGCUAGGGGAGCAAACAGG
rnacentral:rRNA from 1 species